rnacentral:sRNA from 1 species
GUCUUUUCGAGGUAGGAGUCGACUCCUGUGAGGUAUGGUGCUGGGUGCAGAUGCAGUGUGGCUCUGGAUAGCACCUUAUGGACAGUUGUGUCCCCAAGGAAGGAUGAGAAUAGCUACUGAAGUCCUAAAGAGCAAGCCUAACUCAAGCCAUUGGCACACAGGCAUUAGACAGAAAGCUGGAAGUUGAAAUGGUGGAGUCCAACUUGCCUGGACCAGCUUAAUGGUUCUGCUCCUGGUAACGUUUUUAUCCAUGGAUGACUUGCUUGGGUAUGGAGAGUCGGCUUGACUACACUGUGUGGAGCAAGUUUUAAAGAAGCAAAGGACUCAGAAUUCAUGAUUGAAGAAAUGCAGGCAGACCUGUUAUCCUAAACUAGGGUUUUUAAUGACCACAACAAGCAAGCAUGCAGCUUACUGCUUGAAAGGGUCUUGCCUCACCCAAGCUAGAGUGCAGUGGCCUUUGAAGCUUACUACAGCCUCAAACUUCUGGGCUCAAGUGAUCCUCAGCCUCCCAGUGGUCUUUGUAGACUGCCUGAUGGAGUCUCAUGGCACAAGAAGAUUAAAACAGUGUCUCCAAUUUUAAUAAAUUUUUGCAAUCCAUC